rnacentral:rRNA from 1 species
AUUGAACGCUGGCGGCAGGCCUAACACAUGCAAGUCGAGCGAGCGGCGGACGGGUGAGUAAUGUCUGGGAAACUGCCUGAUGGAGGGGGAUAACUACUGGAAACGGUAGCUAAUACCGCAUACCAUCAGAUGUGCCCAGAUGGGAUUAGCUAGUAGGUGGGGUAACGGCUCACCUAGGCGACGAUCCCUAGCUGGUCUGAGAGGAUGACCAGCCAAAUGGGAACGGAGACACGGUCCAGAAUCCUACGGGAGGCAGCAGUGGGGAAUAUUGCACAAUGGGCGAAAGCCGGAUGCAGCCAGGCGGCGGGUAUGAAGAAGGCCUUCGGGUUGUAAAGUACGUUCAGCGGGGAGGCGUUACCCGAAGAAGAAGCACCGGCUAACUCCGUGCCAGCAGCCGCGGUAAUAC